GCCAUAGCUCAAUAGCAGAGCACCUGCUUUGCAAGCAGAAGGCCCCAGGUUCUGUUCAUGGCAUCUCCA